UACGGGGGGGGCAAGCGUUGUUCGGAAUUACUGGGCGUAAAGGGCUCGUAGGUGGUCAACUAAGUCGGACGUGAAAUCCCUCGGCUUAACCGGGGAACUGCGUCCGAUACUGGAUGACUUGAGUUCGGGAGAGGGAUGCGGAAUUCCAGGUGUAGCGGUGAAAUGCGUAGAUAUCUGGAGGAACACCGAUGGCGAAGGCAGGUCUCUGGGCCGAUACUGACGCUGAGGAGCGAAAGCGUGGGGAGCGAACAGG
rnacentral:rRNA from 1 species